rnacentral:rRNA from 1 species
GGGGAAUAUUGGACAAUGGGCGCAAGCCUGAUCCAGCCAUACCGCGUGGGUGAAGAAGGCCUUCGGGUUGUAAAGCCCUUUUGUUGGGAAAGAAAUCCUAUCGGUUAAUAACCGGUGGGGAUGACGGUACCCAAAGAAUAAGCACCGGCUAACUUCGUGCCAGCAGCCGCGGUAAUACGAAGGGUGCAAGCGUUACUCGGAAUUACUGGGCGUAAAGCGUGCGUAGGUGGUGGUUUAAGUCUGCUGUGAAAGCCCUGGGCUCAACCUGGGAAUUGCAGUGGAUACUGGAUCACUAGAGUGUGGUAGAGGGAUGCGGAAUUUCUGGUGUAGCAGUGAAAUGCGUAGAGAUCAGAAGGAACAUCCGUGGCGAAGGCGGCAUCCUGGGCCAACACUGACACUGAGGCACGAAAGCGUGGGGAGCAAAC